GAUGAACGCUAGCGGCAGGCUUAACACAUGCAAGUCGAGGGGUAGAGGAAGCUUGCUUCCUUGAGACCGGCGCACGGGUGCGUAACGCGUAUACAAUCUACCUUUUACAGAGGGAUAGCCCCAGAGAAAUUUGGAUUAAUACCUCAUAGUAUUUUCGGAUCGCAUGAUUUGAUUAUUAAAGUUCCAACGGUAAAGAUGAGUAUGCGUCCAUUAGCUAGAUGGUAAGGUAACGGCUUACCAUGGCAAUGAUGGGUAGGGGUCCUGAGAGGGAGAUCCCCCACACUGGUACUGAGACACGGACCAGACUCCUACGGGAGGCAGCAGUGA
rnacentral:rRNA from 1 species